UACGAGGGACCCGAGCGUUAUCCGGAUUUAUUGGGUUUAAAGGGUGCGUAGGCGGAUUAGUAAGUCAGUGGUGAAAGCCCAUCGCUUAACGGUGGAACUGCCAUUGAUACUGCUAGUCUUGAGUAUGGUUGAGGUGGGCGGAAUGUGUCAUGUAGCGGUGAAAUGCUUAGAUAUGACACAGAACACCAAUUGCGAAGGCAGCUCGCUAAACCAUAACUGACGCUGAGGCACGAAAGCGUGGGGAGCAAACAGG
rnacentral:rRNA from 1 species